UGGAUAUGAGUUUGGACAACAGCUCCUGCAUUUAAUGGCCUUAGAGUCGGAGCAUACAGGACUGCGUAAGCCUGACCUUCCAGAGCCAUCCACGGAAUAGAGGCAAGAGCUAUGUAAGCAGGUUAUGGAAAUAUGUGAUUAACCCUUGCCAAGGUGGCCCGUCAAAUGAAUGCUUGCUGGAUUUCUUCUUAAUAACUGUUUUAAAUGCUGAAGGGAUAAACCUGCAGGGCACUUCAGGAGAUCCAGAGAAACAUGAGGAAUUCUCAGAUUUGGGCACCCUUCUGGAAAACUGCAGAAGUUUCUUUCCUUUGAGCUGAAGAGUUUGGGGUUGAAGGAGGCUGCUCCUGCCUUGAUUAAUACUGUACCUUCC
ensembl:lncRNA